CAAUCGUUCUUCUGUGGGGUUGCAUGAGGACCAGAGAGAGAAGUCCCCCUUCCACCAGGGCUGCACAGACAGGGCAGCCCAUGGCCCACCAGUGUCCUCCCCACUCAGAAUGGAGCCAGACAGAGACAUUUGAGGACCAAGAGAUAAAGCCAGAUCGAGCACCUGGGGGGCUCCCAUUUGAAACCAGGAGCUGGCACUGCCUGAAGCGGGAGCCCCUGAUGGACUCGGCGGCUCUGAGCCAGUGAGGACUUGUUUCCAGUUCCUUGUCUUGACUGACGGCAAGCGCCCAGGCCUUUGCUCUCCAUAGCUGCCGCUGUAUUCCCCAGCCUCACCCUCCUCAGUCCUCCACGCAGCACCUGCGGCUCUGCAGCCCUGGGCCAACACCAUGAGGACCUGGGUCCAGAAUUGGCUGCUGGGGCACCUCCCAUUCCCAGGAGAGUGGGUUGCCCUGGAGCAAGGCUGCCUGGCCUCCUCAGGGAGACCCCAGCCCCUGUCUCAGGAAUGCAACUUUCUGUGACAAGCCCACUCCAUGGCACAGACUCCAAGCCCUCGCUCCCUGCCCAGACGCUUCGCUGGCUGAGAUUGCCCGCGCUCUGCUUUCUGCACACUGCACAGCGCUUCGGCUCCUUAGCUUGAAGG
rnacentral:lncRNA from 1 species